ACUACGGGCGGCUGCAGUGGGGAAUAUUGCGCAAUGGGCGCAAGCCUGAUGCAGCCAUGCCGCGUGUGUGAAGAAGGCCUUCGGGUUGUAAAGCACUUUCAGCGGGGAGGAAGGCGUUAAGGUUAAUAACCUUGUCGAUUGACGUUACCCGCAGAAGAAGCACCGGCUAACUCCGUGCCAGCAGCCGCGGUAAUACGGAGGGUGCAAGCGUUAAUCGGAAUUACUGGGCGUAAAGCGCACGCAGGCGGUCUGUCAAGUCGGAUGUGAAAUCCCCGGGCUCAACCUGGGAACUGCAUUCGAAACUGGCAGGCUAGAGUCUUGUAGAGGGGGGUAGAAUUCCAGGUGUAGCGGUGAAAUGCGUAGAGAUCUGGAGGAAUACCGGAGGCGAAGGCGGCCCCCUGGACAAAGACUGACGCUCAGGUGCGAAAGCGUGGGGAGCAAACAGGAUUAGAUACCCGGGUAGUC
rnacentral:rRNA from 1 species